rnacentral:rRNA from 1 species
GACUCUUUAAACGGCCGCGGUAUCCUAACCGUGCAAAGGUAGCAUAAUCACUUGUCCCCUAAAUAGGGACUAGAAUGAACGGCUAAAUGAGGACAAAACUGUCUCUUACGGACUAGCCAAUGAAAUUGAUCCUUCAGUACAAAAGCUGGAAUUAACCCAUAAGACGAGAAGACCCUGUGGAGCUUCAAAACCAAAAUCACUAAACAUGCCUCCUGGUUUUUUAGUUGGGGCGACUUUGGAGCAAAAAAAAUCCUCCAAAACAUAAAGUCAUUUAUUAAGAAAAACACACCAAAAAUAAUAUUAUAGACCCAGCAGUACUAGUUUACUGUCUGAUCAAUGAACCAAGUUACCCCAGGGAUAACAGCGCCAUCCUCUUCUAGAGUCCUUAUCGACAAGAGGGUUUACGACCUCGAUGUUGGAUCAGGACACCCCUAUAGUGCAGCCGCUAUAGAAGGUUCGUUUGUUCAACGAUUAAAGUCCUACGUGAUCUGAGUUCA